rnacentral:rRNA from 1 species
AUUGAACGCUGGCGGCAUGCCUUACACAUGCAAGUCGAACGGCAGCACGGGAGCAAUCCUGGUGGCGAGUGGCGAACGGGUGAGUAAUAUAUCGGAACGUGCCCAGUCGUGGGGAUAACGUAGCGAAAGUUACGCUAAUACCGCAUACGAUCUAAGGAUGAAAGCGGGGGAUCGCAAGACCUCGCGCGAUUGGAGCGGCCGAUAUCAGAUUAGGUAGUUGGUGAGGUAAAGGCUCACCAAGCCAACGAUCUGUAGCUGGUCUGAGAGGACGACCAGCACACUGGAACUGAGACACGGCCCAGACUCUACGGGAGGCAGCAGUGGGAAUUUUGGACAAUGGGCGCAAGCCUGAUCCAGCAAUGCCGCGUGCAGGAUGAAGGCUCGGUGUAACGU